AUAUAUAUAAACACACACAAUAUGUUUAGUUCCAUCUCAAACCAUGUACAAUCAAUCAGCUUCAGAUUAUAAUAGCUUUGAAACAAUGAUAAUGAAAGUUUUUUCAUCGUUCUAAAUUUAUGCUACAGUUAUGGUCGUAGAUUAAGAAAAAUCUUAUGGGUGCAAUUAUUCCACUGACACCUGCGAAAUUACCAAAAGAACUGACCAUCGCUGUUUAUUGUAUUUUUUUAAAUGUUCUAGUUAAACAAUCUAACACUUAA
rnacentral:lncRNA from 1 species